AAGUCGUAACAAGGUUUCCGUAGGUGAACCUGCGGAAGGAUCAUUACUUGAUAUCUAAUGCAGUUGCACUAGUAUUCAUACUGUACAAUUACGUUCGAUUCAAACAAAACACCAAACUGUGCUCUUAUUCUUUUCCACCCCGCACUUCAAGCAAUGUCAUAUUGCUGCAUGUUUAAGUAGACUGACUGUAUUGGGUCUUGUGAGUGGCACAGUGUCACAGCUGUGUCCCUCUCGACUCAUCUGUAUAUCACUUGUGGUAUACUUGUUGAACUGAUAUCGUCCCUCUAUUCCUUCUGGUCUAGGGUGUCGAUACUCUGAACAACUCCUAACAAUGGAUAUCUCGGCUCUC
rnacentral:misc_RNA from 1 species